rnacentral:lncRNA from 1 species
AAGCUAAGGAGGGGUGGGCCUAAUUAGUACUUGGAUGAGAAAGAGGUCAGAGAGAGGCAAGAGAGAGCCUCUACCACAUUCUUCCGCUUAUCCAAGCCUCCUAUUAUUUCCCUGACCCAUUUCACCUGGAAGAGGCGUCAGAAAUACGAAGAGGAACAAGAGAAGGAGAUAUAGGUCCCUCGUGGCUGAUGGUCGGGAGCUUCACCGCGAGCUGAAUCUGCGAAGGACACUGAGCCUUCCGCCUAAACAGGUCUUGGCCCCAGUCACUGGGCAGAAUUCACAACAGAUCUCACUCCAUUUGUGAGGCCUUGUUAGAGAAGAAGGUGAAGUUGCUCUGAAAUAGGAAAGUCACUGAAAAGUGCAGCACCUCCGUGUCCCAGGGGAAGAA